CGCGUAGGCGGGUGGCCAAGUCAGGGGUGAAAUCUUUCGGCUUAACCGGAAAAUAGCUUCUGAUACUGGUCAUCUUGAGGGAGGUAGGGGUCUGUGGAACUUCUGGUGGAGCGGUGAAAUGCGUAGAUAUCAGAAGGAACGCCGGUGGCGAAAGCGACGGACUGGACCUCAUCUGACGCUGAGGCGCGAAAGCUAGGGGAAGGCAAACG
rnacentral:rRNA from 1 species